AUUGAACGCUGGCGGCAUGCUUUACACAUGCAAGUCGAGCGGCAGCGCGGGGGCAACCCUGGCGGCGAGCGGCGAACGGGUGAGGAAUACAUCGGAACGUGUCCCGUAGUGGGGAUAGCUCGGCGAAAGCCGGAUUAAUACCGCAUAUGCUCUACGGAGGGAAAGCCGGGGAUCUGUUAAAGGACCUGGCGCGUAUGGGAGCGGCCGAUGUCCGAUUAGCUAGUUGGUGAGGAAAGGCUCACCAAGGCGACGAUCGGUAGCUGGUCUGAGAGGAUGA
rnacentral:rRNA from 1 species